UUUUGGGGAGCUUUUAUUUUGUUAAUUGUAUUUUUGUUGUGUGACCUUUGACAUUUUGCCCGUGUCACUUCCUGUCGGUUCGCGCCGUUCGCCCUAGUCGGCAUCAAGCUUCGCUGAGGAGAGGUUUGCAUGAAGAAACGUGGUCAUGAGAAAUUGCUGUACUGACAUUAUUGUGUACACACAGCCUGCAAGAAUAAAUCGUCCCCCUGGCUGGUAAGACAACAGUUGUCCUCCUUGCAUCUUUUGACAUACAUGGACACAACGCAGAGUUCAUGGCAAGAUGGAGCACCAGACUGGGCCAGCUACAGUGGUGCCGUGACCCUGAUCCACACUGCUUCAGACUGGUUCAUCAUUGUUCCUGGAGCUGUGGAUCAACAUCAGCUUAGUCACCAGAAGUUGCCACAUAUCAAUUAUUCACGUCAAUGAACUUUUUUUUUUGUUUAGUCAUUUUUUUAUUUCCUAUUUUGAGGGUAUAGCUAUUUCAGUGCAUUUUAUUGUGUACAGUUUAAAAAUGACAUAUGGGAUAAAUGGAUGAGGAGAGGGUCCUAGCUUUUAAUUUUGCUGUUGGAAGGGGGAAUUUAUCGGUGAAUUACCUUGUAUUCCUGUUUGAGCUGCAAAUAAUGUAGAUACCAGCUUUCAGUUCCACUCGCAUACUUGUUCAUGCAGCUUCUAGUCCUAGUCAGAGAGAUGCACUUUCAGGUCUCUCUAAGCUCUAAACUUGAGCUGUUUGUUGUGCUGCCUCGAUGAUCUGCUUGUGUUUGCUGCAACUGAAGAGGAGGCUUUGAAGAGGUUGGAGAUUGUUUUCCAGCGACUCAGAUUUCACAACUAACUGAGCCCCAAGAAAUGCCACUUAAUGAGAUCGUCAGACAAGUUUCUGGGACACAUAAAUGGCAGUGGAGUGGCCGUGGAUCAAGCAAAAAUUGAGGUCAUAUCCAACAUGUCAAAGGCAGACCUGAUGGAGGAUGAUGGCUGCACACCUUCUGUAAGGAGAAUAAAAUCCUUCCUUGGAGAGGUGUUUUACUACCACCACUUCAUCCCUAAUUGCUCCUCGGUAGCCAAGCCCUUGUUUGCUCUCACUGCUGUGCAAAAGAAAUAUGGAAAAGUCAGAACAAACUCUAAUGCUGGCUCUUACAGGAAUUUCUUUAUUUCAAAAAAUAAACAGCCCACAGGCUCAAGUUUCUAGCCUUGAAAUGGAGUGGGUGUGAGAAGUUCAGCCAUUGGUUAAGAUGUCAUUCUUUUACGCAAUGGACUGAUGACAACCCUCUUACCUUUAUCAUGACAAAACCUGAGCUUGAUGCUUGCGAACAACACUGGAUGUCCAAGCUCCCCGCCUAUAUUUUUUUACCUGAAACACGUACCUGACAACAAGAACAUAGUUCUCCUCAGUCGACAUCAGGCUGCGGUGAAAGUAGUAAAUGUAGGGAUAUGAGUUGCACUCUGCGCUCAGUUGGCAUCAGGCUGCGCUGAGGAGAGGUAUGCAUGUCGAAACCUGGUCAUGAGAAGUUGCUGUACUGAUAUUGUGUUACACACAGGCCGCAAGAAUAAAUCAUGCCCUCUGGCUGGCAAGACAA